rnacentral:rRNA from 1 species
UACAGAGGGUGCAAGCGUUGUUCGGAAUUACUGGGCGUAAAGCGCGUGUAGGCGGUUCUUCAAGUCUCGUGUGAAAGCCCUGGGCUCAACCCAGGAAGUGCGCGAGAUACCAGGGAGCUGGAGUGUCGGAGAGGAGGGCGGAAUACCCGGUGUAGAGGUGAAAUUCGUAGAUAUCGGGUGGAACACCUGUGGCGAAGGCGGCCCUCUGGACGAUAACUGACGCUGAGACGCGAAAGCAUGGGGAGCAAACAGG